rnacentral:rRNA from 1 species
GGUUAAGCGACUAAGCGUACACGGUGGAUGCCCUGGCAGUCAGAGGCGAUGAAGGACGUGCUAAUCUGCGAUAAGCGUCGGUAAGGUGAUAUGAACCGUUAUAACCGGCGAUUUCCGAAUGGGGAAACCCAGUGUGUUUCGACACACUAUCAUUAACUGAAUCCAUAGGUUAAUGAGGCGAACCGGGGGAACUGAAACAUCUAAGUACCCCGAGGAAAAGAAAUCAACCGAGAUUCCCCCAGUAGCGGCGAGCGAACGGGGAGCAGCCCAGAGCCUGAAUCAGUGUGUGUGUUAGUGGAAGCGUCUGGAAAGGCGCGCGAUACAGGGUGACAGCCCCGUACACAAAAAUGCACAUGCUGUGAGCUCGAUGAGUAGGGCGGGACACGUGGUAUCCUGUCUGAAUAUGGGGGGACCAUCCUCCAAGGCUAAAUACUCCUGACUGACCGAUAGUGAACCAGUACCGUGAGGGAAAGGCGAAAAGAACCCCGGCGAGGGGAGUGAAAAAGAACCUGAAACCGUGUACGUACAAGCAGUGGGAGCACAGAGCAAUCUGUGUGACUGCGUACCUUUUGUAUAAUGGGUCAGCGACUUAUAUUCUGUAGCAAGGUUAACCGAAUAGGGGAGCCGAAGGGAAACCGAGUCUUAACUGGGCGUUAAGUUGCAGGGUAUAGACCCGAAACCCGGUGAUCUAGCCAUGGGCAGGUUGAAGGUUGGGUAACACUAACUGGAGGACCGAACCGACUAAUGUUGAAAAAUUAGCGGAUGACUUGUGGCUGGGGGUGAAAGGCCAAUCAAACCGGGAGAUAGCUGGUUCUCCCCGAAAGCUAUUUAGGUAGCGCCUCGUGAAUUCAUCUCCGGGGGUAGAGCACUGUUUCGGCAAGGGGGUCAUCCCGACUUACCAACCCGAUGCAAACUGCGAAUACCGGAGAAUGUUAUCACGGGAGACACACGGCGGGUGCUAACGUCCGUCGUGAAGAGGGAAACAACCCAGACCGCCAGCUAAGGUCCCAAAGUCAUGGUUAAGUGGGAAACGAUGUGGGAAGGCCCAGACAGCCAGGAUGUUGGCUUAGAAGCAGCCAUCAUUUAAAGAAAGCGUAAUAGCUCACUGGUCGAGUCGGCCUGCGCGGAAGAUGUAACGGGGCUAAACCAUGCACCGAAGCUGCGGCAGCGACGCUUAUGCGUUGUUGGGUAGGGGAGCGUUCUGUAAGCCUGUGAAGGUGUGCUGUGAGGCAUGCUGGAGGUAUCAGAAGUGCGAAUGCUGACAUAAGUAACGAUAAAGCGGGUGAAAAGCCCGCUCGCCGGAAGACCAAGGGUUCCUGUCCAACGUUAAUCGGGGCAGGGUGAGUCGACCCCUAAGGCGAGGCCGAAAGGCGUAGUCGAUGGGAAACAGGUUAAUAUUCCUGUACUUGGUGUUACUGCGAAGGGGGGACGGAGAAGGCUAUGUUGGCCGGGCGACGGUUGUCCCGGUUUAAGCGUGUAGGCUGGUUUUCCAGGCAAAUCCGGAAAAUCAAGGCUGAGGCGUGAUGACGAGGCACUACGGUGCUGAAGCAACAAAUGCCCUGCUUCCAGGAAAAGCCUCUAAGCAUCAGGUAACAUCAAAUCGUACCCCAAACCGACACAGGUGGUCAGGUAGAGAAUACCAAGGCGCUUGAGAGAACUCGGGUGAAGGAACUAGGCAAAAUGGUGCCGUAACUUCGGGAGAAGGCACGCUGAUAUGUAGGUGAGGUCCCUCGCGGAUGGAGCUGAAAUCAGUCGAAGAUACCAGCUGGCUGCAACUGUUUAUUAAAAACACAGCACUGUGCAAACACGAAAGUGGACGUAUACGGUGUGACGCCUGCCCGGUGCCGGAAGGUUAAUUGAUGGGGUUAGCGGUAACGCGAAGCUCUUGAUCGAAGCCCCGGUAAACGGCGGCCGUAACUAUAACGGUCCUAAGGUAGCGAAAUUCCUUGUCGGGUAAGUUCCGACCUGCACGAAUGGCGUAAUGAUGGCCAGGCUGUCUCCACCCGAGACUCAGUGAAAUUGAACUCGCUGUGAAGAUGCAGUGUACCCGCGGCAAGACGGAAAGACCCCGUGAACCUUUACUAUAGCUUGACACUGAACAUUGAGCCUUGAUGUGUAGGAUAGGUGGGAGGCUUUGAAGUGUGGACGCCAGUCUGCAUGGAGCCGGCCUUGAAAUACCACCCUUUAAUGUUUGAUGUUCUAACGUUGGCCCCUGAUCGGGGUUGCGGACAGUGUCUGGUGGGUAGUUUGACUGGGGCGGUCUCCUCCUAAAGAGUAACGGAGGAGCACGAAGGUUGGCUAAUCCUGGUCGGACAUCAGGAGGUUAGUGCAAUGGCAUAAGCCAGCUUGACUGCGAGCGUGACGGCGCGAGCAGGUGCGAAAGCAGGUCAUAGUGAUCCGGUGGUUCUGAAUGGAAGGGCCAUCGCUCAACGGAUAAAAGGUACUCCGGGGAUAACAGGCUGAUACCGCCCAAGAGUUCAUAUCGACGGCGGUGUUUGGCACCUCGAUGUCGGCUCAUCACAUCCUGGGGCUGAAGUAGGUCCCAAGGGUAUGGCUGUUCGCCAUUUAAAGUGGUACGCGAGCUGGGUUUAGAACGUCGUGAGACAGUUCGGUCCCUAUCUGCCGUGGGCGCUGGAGAACUGAGGGGGGCUGCUCCUAGUACGAGAGGACCGGAGUGGACGCAUCACUGGUGUUCGGGUUGUCAUGCCAAUGGCACUGCCCGGUAGCUAAAUGCGGAAGAGAUAAGUGCUGAAAGCAUCUAAGCACGAAACUUGCCCCGAGAUGAGUUCUCCCUGACUCCUUGAGAGUCCUGAAGGAACGUUGAAGACGACGACGUUGAUAGGCCGGGUGUGUAAGCGCAGCGAUGCGUUGAGCUAACCGGUACUAAUGAACCGUGAGGCUUAACCUUACAACGCCGAAGCUGUU